rnacentral:rRNA from 1 species
UGGGGAAUUGUUCGCAAUGGGCGCAAGCCUGACGACGCAACGCCGCGUGGAGGAUGAAGGUCUUCGGAUUGUAAACUCCUGUUGAUCGGGACGAAAAGCUUCAACCUAAUACGUUGAAGACUGACGGUACCGGUUGAGGAAGCCACGGCUAACUCUGUGCCAGCAGCCGCGGUAAUACAGAGGUGGCGAGCGUUAUUCGGAAUUAUUGGGCGUAAAGGGCGCGUAGGCGGCCAGAUAAGUCCCGGGUGAAAUCCCUCGGCUCAACCGAGGAACUGCCUUGGAAACUGUCUGGCUCGAGGCCGGGAGAGGGUAGUGGAAUUCCCAGUGUAGCGGUGAAAUGCGUAGAUACUGGGAGGAACACCGGUGGCGAAGGCGGCUACCUGGACCGGUUCUGACGCUGAUGCGCGAAAGCGUGGGGAGCAAACAGGAUUAGAUACCCUUGUAGUCCCUGAGCGGGCUGGCAAGGCGCAU